rnacentral:rRNA from 1 species
AUUGAACGCUGGCGGCAGGCCUAACACAUGCAAGUCGAGCGGCAGCGGGACCUUCGGGUCGCCGGCGAGCGGCGGACGGGUGAGUAAUGCCUAGGAAUCUGCCUGUUAGCGGGGGAUAACGCGGGGAAACUCGCGCUAAUACCGCAUACGGCCUACGGGAGAAAGUGGGGGCCCCUCCGGCCUCACGCUAACAGAUGAGCCUAGGUCGGAUUAGCUAGUUGGUGGGGUAAAGGCCCACAAAGGCGACGAUCCGUAACUGGUCUGAAAGGAUGAUCAGUCACACUGGAACUGAGACACGGUCCAGACUCCUACGGGAGGCAGCAGUGGGGAAUAUUGGACAAUGGGCGAAAGCCUGAUCCAGCCAUGCCGCAUGUGUGAAGAAGGUCUUCGGAUUGUAAAGCACUUUAAGUUGGGAGGAAGGGCGCUCGGUGAAUACCCAGGCGUCUUGACGUUACCGACAGAAUAAGCACCGGCUAACUUCGUGCCAGCAGCCGCCGUAACAC